UAAAAAACCAAAACAAAGAUGGCAGCCGGUCGGCUGCUUGGUCAGAGAAGAGAGUUGCCACUUUCAGGGGAAAUAGUUGAAAAUCGUUUUUAUCUUGCGGCGCACUAAAUAUAUAUUUUUUUUAAUCCAGAUGGUUAGAGGAGUCUCUUGGGUUUUUGCCAAUACCUGCAGAACCGCGGCUGCCUGGCAGUCGGGCCACUCCUGCAGUCAGGGCUUGACAAGCAGCGGAGGGAGAACGGCUUGUUGAUCAUGCCCUCUUCUUCCUCUUGACCUGGAUGUCUUCACACUUCUCUGCGACAGCGGAGAGAUGGGGAAUAACACGCUACAGAGGUCCCCAGCCCUGCAGGAUGCGCCAUAUCCUGGUCAAGGGUUGCCGCUUAGCCCGAGGGAAGAGAGGCACAUGUGACACUGGAUCCUGGCUGGGUUAAUGUCAUUACUCGAGCAGGCGACCCCCUCCCUCUGCCACCCUCAGACCUGCUGCUGGAGGUUCAAAAACCCACUUCCUGGUACUUCAUUUCAAGGGAUGUAAUAAGACAUGUGUUUCCUGAGGGCGGCUCAGAGGAGUAGGCUCAACUCCCCUGGACUAUUCCUUCGCUCCUCCACCCAAUGUUGACCCCCACAGCUGGCUCACAGUGUUGCCUAUCCCAGCAGCACCCACACCCUUGGGGGCUGCAUGGGGGCGUGGAGCAUCCCAUCCCGACAGCACUCUACAUCCCAGACGUAAACACGGGUGACAAAUGGGCCACGAUAUCAGAUAUCAGGUGUCAGCGUGGAAGAUUUAUAAGGUAACAAGACAAUGGGAGGCAGACACAAAAAGCCUCUAUCUACCAUCAGUGCUAAGAGGGCGGCUUCCCCACCGCAGCAAAACCCACUUUGGUUUCAGCAGCCAUGGAGAAAAUCAUUUCCCCUUUAAUCCUCUCAGUUUUCUCAUCCAUGCGGCACAGAUUAGGUGCUCUCACACAGCUGAAUCAGAUGUCCAUGGUUCACCAGGACAACAUGUUUUGGAGUACAGACUGAAGUCGGAGGAGUCAGGCACAAGAGAGCUUGUUGUUAUUGUGAAAUGAAGGAAGUCCCCACUCAUGGAAAUGGAAGUUCUGGGUCAUGUAGAGCUUGGCCAGGGAUGGAUGGAGGAGGCAGUUGUCCAUGUCAUCCCGCUUCACAAUCAGUGGCUGGUCGACAAACAGUAGUCUUAGCAGGAAACCCCUCACAUCUCUGUGUCUUAAAUCAGCUUUAAGGAGAUUUCCAAGUUUUCAAAACACAGAUCUUGUUUUUGUCGGUGAAUCUUUGAUAAUAAUGCACAGUAUAUGAUCAGUCUGGGUUUACGUGGGAGGAGGCGUGUGCAAGCAAAAAGAUGGAGCAGCAGACCUCACAGAUGCAAACAGUGAAGGGGAAUAAAAAAAAAGUUGAUUUAACACUCCCGGUUUGGACGCUAUGAACUGCUGCGAUAUACAGAGAGUGUAUACGGAGUGAAAUGAUAAAAUAGCUGUUAUCUACAUGCAUCUGGCUCACUAUCUACAAGGUGGUUCAACUGAGAUCAUAUGUGUUGAAUUUGUGC